CGUGGAACAUCUGGGCAAUAUGGUAAGUAUGUCUAAUUUUCUGAGGAACUGUCAAACUGUUUUCCUAAAUAACUAUACCCAUUUAUACUUCUGUCAGCAGU
rnacentral:pre_miRNA from 1 species